UGACAAUGAUGAGGACAAUCCCGAAGGAGUUUCUUGUAUCUUUCCCAUGCUUGGCGAAGAGUUUCACCAUCCCGUUGUUGAAAACCAAGAAUCUGACUCCGUAA
rnacentral:snoRNA from 1 species